rnacentral:rRNA from 1 species
GACGAACGCUGGCGGCGUGCCUAAUACAUGCAAGUUGAGCGCUGAAGGUUGGUACUUGUACCAACUGGAUGAGCAGCGAACGGGUGAGUAACGCGUGGGGAAUCUGCCUUUGAGCGGGGGACAACAUUUGGAAACGAAUGCUAAUACCGCAUAAAAACUUUAAACACAAGUUUUAAGUUUGAAAGAUGCAAUUGCAUCACUCAAAGAUGGUCCCGCGUUGUAUUAGCUAGUUGGUGAGGUAAAGGCUCACCAAGGCGACGAUACAUAGCCGACCUGAGAGGGUGAUCGGCCACAUUGGGACUGAGACACGGCCCAAACUCCUACGGGAGGCAGCAGUAGGGAAUCUUCGGCAAUGGACGAAAGUCUGACCGAGCAACGCCGCGUGAGUGAAGAAGGUUUUCGGAUCGUAAAACUCUGUUGGUAGAGAAGAACGUUGGUGAGAGUGGAAAGCUCAUCAAGUGACGGUAACUACCCAGAAAGGGACGGCUAACUACGUG